rnacentral:rRNA from 1 species
UACGUAGGGUGCAAGCGUUUGUCCGGAAUUAUUGGGCGUAAAGAGCUCGUAGGCGGUUUGUCGCGUCUGCUGUGAAAACUCAGGGCUUAACUCUGAGCUUGCAGUGGGUACGGGCAGACUAGAGUGCGGUAGGGGAGACUGGAAUUCUCGGUGUAGCGGUGAAAUGCGUAGAUAUCGAGAGGAACACCUGGCGGCGAAGGCGGGUUGCUGGGCUGACACUGACGCUGAUGCGCGAAAGCCAGGGGAGCGAACGGG